UAUUCUGGUUAAAAGGCGUAGAGGAACAACACCAAUCCAUCCCGAACUUUUAUUAGAGUCUACUGCGGUGACGAUACUGUAGG
rnacentral:rRNA from 1 species